UUGAAGAGUUUGAUCCUGGCUCAGAUUGAACGCUGGCGGCAGGCCUAACACAUGCAAGUCGAACGGAUCCUUCGGGAUUAGUGGCGCACGGGUGAGUAACGCGUGGAUAUCUACCUUGGGAUGGGGAAUAACCAUUGGAAACGAUGGCUAAUACCGCAUACGCCGGAAACGGGAAAGCUUUAUGCGUCCUGAGAUGAGUCCGCGUUAGAUUAGAUAGUUGGUGGGGUAAUGGCCUACCA
rnacentral:rRNA from 1 species